GAGGAAAAGAAACUAACAAGGAUUCCCUUAGUAACGGCGAGUGAACCGGGAAGAGCUCAAAUUUGAAAUCUGGCUGUCUUCGAUAGUCCGAGUUGUAAUCUAUAGAAGCGUUUUCCGUGCUGAACUGUGUCUAAGUCCCUUGGAACAGGGUAUCAAAGAGGGUGACAAUCCCGUACUUGACACAAUCAUCAGUGCUCUGUGAUACGUUCUCUACGAGUCGAGUUGUUUGGGAAUGCAGCUCAAAAUGGGUGGUAAAUUCCAUCUAAAGCUAAAUAUUGGCGAGAGACCGAUAGCGAACAAGUACCGUGAGGGAAAGAUGAAAAGCACUUUGGAAAGAGAGUUAAACAGUACGUGAAAUUGUUAAAAGGGAAACGAUUGAAGUCAGUCGUGUUUAUUGGAUUCAGCCGGUCUUCGGUGUACUUCCUUUAAACGGGUCAACAUCAGUUUUGUCCGGUGGAUAAAGGCAGUAGGAAUGUGGCUCCCUCGGGAGUGUUAUAGCCUAUUGUCACAUACACUGGAGGAGACUGAGGACUGCAGCUCGCCUUUUGGCCGGGGUUCGCCCACGUUCGAGCUUAGGAUGUUGACAUAAUGGCUUUAAACGACCCGUCUUGAAAACCCGACCAAA
rnacentral:rRNA from 1 species